AUUGAACGCUGGCGGAAUGCUUUACACAUGCAAGUCGGGCGGCAGCGCGGGGGCAACCCUGGCGGCGAGCGGCGAACGGGUGAGUAAUACAUUGGAACGUGUCCUUGAGUGGGGGAUAGCUCGGCGAAAGCCGGAUUAAUACCGCAUAAGCUCUGAGGAGGAAAGCGGGGACUGGUAACGGCCUCGCGCUGUUGGAGCGGCCGAUGUCGGAUUAGCUAGUUGGUGGGGUAAAGGCCCACCAAGGCGACGAUCCGUAGCUGGUCUGAGAGGAUGAUCAGCCACACUGGAACUGAGACACGGUCCAGACUCCUACGGGAGGCAGCAGUGGGGAAUUUUGGACAAGUGGGGCAACCCUGAUCCAGCCAUUCCGCGUGAGUGAAGAAGGCC
rnacentral:rRNA from 1 species